AUGGCGGCAGCUGCGGCGGCGAGCGGGGCGACGGCGGCGGUGGAGAGCGUGGUGGUGGUGCACAACGUGGCCAAACGGCACAACGUGGGAACGCUGGCGCGGAGUGCGACGGCCUUCGGCGUGGCGGAGGUGGUGGUGGUCGGCCGCCGCGACGUCAGCGCCUUCGGCAGCCACGGAUCCACCUCCCACCUCCGCUUCCGGCACUUCACCUCCCUCGCCACCGCCUGCGCCUACCUCAAGGACGAGAGGGGGUGUGACAUUUGCGGCGUGGAGAUCACCGACGACGCGCUGCCUGUGACGGCCCACCCGUUCCGCAGGAGCACCGCGUUCCUCUUCGGCAAUGAGGGUACAGGACUCUCACAAAAGGAGUGUGAGGUCUGUGACUUCUUCGUCUACAUCCCUCAGUAUGGUGGCGGAACUGCAUCACUCAAUGUUACCGUUGCAGCAUCGAUUGUUCUCCACCACUUCGGGGUCUGGGCUGGCUUUCCUGAAAGAGGCCGAGAAGGCAGUAAAUUUGUGGUAGCUGAGAAACCAAAGGGGCAGUCGAGGGGGCUCUACUGCUCAGAUUCAAUAGAAGACGUGAUUGAAGAGCGCAAGGCACGCAGAGAAAAUGCCUGCGAUAUAUUCGAGGAAAAUGGAAGUAGCCAUCCGCAAGAAUCAAAUGGUCUAGGAAUGAUGUUUACAGAGUAG
rnacentral:rRNA from 1 species